UCUAUCCGAGGACACUAUAUUACAUGGAUUUUUGGAUCAGGGAGA
rnacentral:precursor_RNA from 1 species